rnacentral:lncRNA from 1 species
AAUGACUACCAUCUUGACUUCCACUUUUAGAAACCUUUCUACUACAUCAAAAUGGGCCCUCAGAUUUUCUGUAAGACCUCUGAGCUGUUCUUCACAAGUACAGUCUGCCCCAGCUGUCCAGACCAAGUCAAAGAAGACUUUAGCAAAACCUAAUCUAAAGAACAUUGUGGUGGUGGAAGGUGUCCGAAUUCCAUUUCUGCUGUCAGGCACUUCGUAUAAAGACCUAAUGCCACAUGAUUUGGCUAGAGCCGCACUUUCGCUGCCCUGGGAGCUGGCUUCUCUGAUAAGACUCCAGCUCACACUGUCACCAUGGCUUGUAUCUCUUCAAACCAAGCCAUGACCACAGCUGUUGGUCUGAUAGCUUCUGGCCAGUGUGAUGUCGUCGUGGCUGGUGGUGUUGAGUUAAUGUCUGACGUCCCUAUUCGUCAUUCAAGAAAUAUGAGGAAAAUGAUGCUUGAUCUCAAUAAAGCCAAGACUCUGGCCCAGCGCCUGUCCUUACUCACUAAAUUCAGAUUGAAUUUUCUGUCCCCUGAGCUCCCUGCAGUGGCUGAGUUCUCCACUAACGAGACAAUGGGCCACUCUGCCGACCGUCUGGCUGCUGCCUUUGCUGUUUCUCGAAUGGAACAGGAUAAAUAUGCACUGCGUUCUCACAGUCUGGCCAAGAAGGCACAGGAUGAAGGACA